GACGUAGGGGGCAAGCGUUGUCCGGAAUCAUUGGGCGUAAAGCGCUCGUAGGUGGAUCGGUAAGUCUGCAAAGAAAGACCCGGGCUCAACUCGGGGAACGGUGUGGAUACUACCGAUCUUGAGGCAAUCAGAGGAUGAUGGAAUUCCCGGUGUAGCGGUGAAAUGCGCAGAUAUCAGGAGGAACACCGGUGGCGAAGGCGGGUCUCUGGGCCGAAACUGACGCUGAGGAGCGAAAGCGUGGGGAGCGAACAGG
rnacentral:rRNA from 1 species